ensembl:rRNA 5S_rRNA 5S ribosomal RNA
AUCUAUGGCCAUACCACACUGAAUGCGCCCCAUCUCGUCUGAUCUCGGAAGCUAAGCAGGGUUGGGCCUGGUUAGUACUUGGAUGGGAGACCACGUGAGGGAGCGAACUCACUGUUGCUC